GACGAACGCUGGCGGCGUGCUUAACACAUGCAAGUCGAACGGAAAGGCCCUGCUUGCUGGGUACUCGAGUGGCGAACGGGUGAGUAACACGUGGGUGAUCUGCCCUGCACUUCGGGCUACGUCUCGGAAACUGGGCUAAAUACCGGAUCGGAGCCAUUUUUAGUGUGAUGGUUGGAAAGUUUUUUCGGUGUAGGAUGAGCCGGCGGCCUAUCAGCUUGUUGGUGGGGUAAUGGCCUACCAAGGCGGCGACGGGUAGCCGGCCUGAGAGGGUGGACGGCCACAUUGGGACUGAGGGACGGCCCAGACGCCAACGUGAGGCAACAGGGGGAAAGAUUGCACAAGGAGCGCAAGCCUGAUGCAGCGGCGCCUCGGGUGGGAUGACGUCCUUCGGAUUGUAAACUCCUUGCGCUAGUGACGAGGCGUUUUGUGACGGUACCUAGAGAAGAAGCACCGGCUAACUACGUG
rnacentral:rRNA from 1 species